AACAUUGAUGAUGUUUGGCUUUGUAUUUUGAGAAUUCAACACAGCAUUCAUUCAGGCACCAUUAUGUCUUUAAAAAACAGAAUAGUAAAUGAACAAAAAAAAUGCAAAGAAACUUAUAAAUGACACCUCAUGACAAAGUUGAUCUAGAUUCUGGCAUAGAACAGCUUUCAUUUUAUUUUUCAUCAUGAUGUUUACUCUCUUGUAUUUUCUUUUGCUUGCAGAUUAAUGUUGACGCAGCCCUGCUCUAAAUACUGUAUGCACUUGUUGGCAAUGCAUGCAGUACUUUAUUUUUGGAGAUCUGAUUUACUUGAAUUUGAUUUCCAUCAAAUCUGAUUCGUUUUUAGUACAAUCCGUUUGUUAUAAACCAAGUCAUUUCUGCAAAUUCACUUCAUCAAUGAAGCCAGCAGAGGUCGCUUAAUCCAAAAAUAUACACUUUAAUAACAACCUGUUGUAUCUUGUAAUUGCUACUAUUUUAUUACUGAAGUGCAGCCUGCUUCACUGAGCAGUGCAAUGGAUAUCCUAUCAUUUGUCCCUAGAUGACACUGAAAGAAAGCAUUGCAUAAAUCAAAAACUUUCCUUCACUAUUUUAAGAAACACCCUGAGAUGCAAUGAAAGGAAUAUUUCACAAGUAGAAGAAGGCUGGCAGAUCACAAAGGAAAAUAAACAGAGGAAACCAAAUGUUCAGUGACUGUUUCCUGCGCUCUGUGCAGACCAUAUCAUUGACAGCUAUAGCACGUCUGAUGUCACUUCCGGUGUCAAUCUGCCUGGAUCUGCCUCUUUCUGCCAGAAGGAAUUAAGACCAAGGGCCUCAUGCAUACCGCCGUGCGAAGAAUUCACACUAUAACAUGGUGUGUGGACAAAAGCAGAAAUGUUCUGUCAGAGAUGGCUGGGGGGGCCACCCGGCCAGGAAGCCCAGGAGGACCGGUGGAGGACUUAUGCCUUCCCCAGGCCAUGUGGGGGCGACCGCCCUGGUACCUUUGGGGGCCCUUGGUCACCGCCAGGGGGCGCCCCUAUGCCUUUGGA